GCGGGUGUAGCUCAGCUGGUAGAGCACCGGACUCCAAAUCCGGCGGCCGUGGGUUCGACUCCUACCGCCCGUG
rnacentral:tRNA from 1 species